CAGGUUAUUCUUAACAAGAACAUAAUCAUUAGCCUGCCCCCAUUUACUUUUUAACCGUAAGCUAACUAUUUUCUUACAAUGACAUGGUUUUGCACAAAAUAUCUAAUUUCACCGAUCUAUUGUUUUUAAAUACUCUCUACAUUCCUGCUGUUAUGUUAUUUUGAUAAUGUUAUUUCAUUCAGACGUAAUAUUCUGUUUCUUCCGUCACAUCAUGUUUGGGGGAGGAAGAUCCGUAUAAUUUUGUCUGCAAGAAGGCAGGGACUAUGUAUGAAUCACUUCAGACCAGUGAUAGGUUUAAAUACUAGGCUUCCGCAGCAUCCAAGAAAAUAGCAAUUAGUUCUCAUUUUCUAUGCCACAAAAUGACUGAACUUGAUGUUGAAACCCUGGCAAUUACGUAUAUCGGCACAGGAAGGAACCAGACAAACACCACAAGCAGUAAGGACAAAAAGGAAAAUCAUGGAGAGUUGGUAAUAUUUGAUGUGAAAACAACUGGAGGUAAAUUGUCUUCAAAACUUUAGGCAAGGCAAGGCAUUGCCUUGCCUUGCCAAAACUUUAGCCAUGGUUUACAUCAGAACAUCCCUCCAGAGUACACUGUUAUAUUGACAACAUGACGAAGCAAUUUGACUGUCUUAUCCGUACACAAUGACACAAGGACUUGUCAUUUUGAUGGCACUGACAUGUUCAUUGACACAGAUAUUUACUUUUGAGAAAAAAACUAAGGAUUUUGAGCAAGAGACUCAUGAAAUCCAUGGUGUUUUGCUAUUUGUACGAAUUGUUUUGAGAAAUGCACUUACUGUUUUGCAAAUUUCAAUUCUGAUCUGAGAAAUGUACCAAAGCGACUGAAAAAAACUGUAAAGUGUAUAGUAUGUAUGUAACCUAUUUCGAUGGUAGGCAUUAUGCAUAAUGGUUUAUCUACCACCAGGACAGGCAAUUGCUAACAGGAUGUCUGACAGGCCUGAGGUGGUCUGUGGUCAAGGGUAGGGUCAAUCCCCAAGGCUGAUCCUCUGGCACUAGGGAAACAAUAGAUAGACGGACGGACGGACUGUUACGUAGGUACCCCCGCCCCUCCCUGUAGAGUAUCCUGCAGGCCCAGUGGUGACAACAGCUGAGGGCAAUUACAAUCAAAAGGGGCGGGUGGAUAAAGCCUGUGCUCUCCCACACCACUUGGCUCUGGAGAGGGAAAAAGAGAGGGCUUCCUUCGCCAAUGACGUCGCACAGCGAAGGCGCUCCUUACACUGGGAGACAAAGUCUGGAACACUAGACUUGGGAGAAGAACCAGACAAAAGCUUUUCUUUAAGCAUUUUCAACGGGCCACGCAUUCUGUGACCAAAAGUUCAGCCGGACUGAACCCAAGUGAUUCCUGUUUGGCAUCACGGAUAGCAAACAGAACAAAAGGCACUCCCUCAUCCCAACCAUGACCAGUAUCGAAAC
ensembl:lncRNA